rnacentral:ncRNA from 1 species
GGGGUCCGAAGCGUUUACUUUGAAAGAAUUAGAGUGUUCAAAGCAGGCCCGGUCGCCUGAAUACCGUAGCUAGGAAUAAUGGAAUAGGACUCCGGUUCUAUUUUGUGGGUUUUUCUUCUGAACUGGGGCCAUGAUUAAGAGGGACGGCCAGGGGCAUUCGUAUUGUGCCGCUAGAGGUGAAAUUCUUGGAACGUUCACAAAAUACAUAACAAUUAUUUUAGCCUCUAUGGGCUAGGUGGGACGCUUGCAUC